UACGGAGGGUGCAAGCGUUGUCCGGAUUUAUUGGGUUUAAAGGGUGCGUAGGCGGUUUUCUAAGUCAGUGGUGAAAGGCAGCAGCUCAACUGUUAGCAUUUGCCAUUGAUACUGGAGAACUUGAGUACAGAUGAGGUAGGCGGAAUUUAUGGUGUAGCGGUGAAAUGCAUAGAUACCAUAAAGAACACCGAUUGCGAAGGCAGCUUACUAGCUGUAACUGACGCUGAUGACACGAAAGCGUGGGGAUCGAACAGG
rnacentral:rRNA from 1 species